AACGAACGCUGGCGGCAGGCUUAACACAUGCAAGUCGAGCGCCCCGCAAGGGGAGCGGCCGCCGGGUGAGUAACGCGUGGGAACGUACCUUUUGGUUCGGAACAACUCCGGGAAACUGGAGCUAAUACCGGAUAAGCCCUAACGGGGAAAGAUUUAUCGCCGAAGGCUCGGCCCGCGUCUGAUUAGCUAGUUGGUGGGGUAACGGCUCACCAAGGCGACGAUCAGUAGCUGGUCUGAGAGGAUGAGCAGCCAGACUGGGACUGAGACACGGCCCAGACUCCGACGGGAGGGAGCAGAGGGGAAUAUUGUACAAUGGGGGCAAGCGUGAUCCAGCCAUGCCGCGUGAGUGAUGAAGGCCUUAGGGUUGUAAAGCUCUUUUGUCCGGGAAGAGAAUGACGGUACCGGAAGAAUAAGCCCCGGCUAACUUCGUG
rnacentral:rRNA from 1 species